UAAGGAUGUUCUUGCUGUCCCCGUAUCAACCGUGGCCUCCGAAUCAGCUUUUAGUACUGGAAGUCGGGUGCUUGAUUGUUAUAGAAGUUCUUUAAAAUCAGAAACGGUGGAAGCUAUCAUUUGCUUAAGGGAUUGAGCCUUUGGGGAAGCAAAUAUGGAUCCUCAAAUGGAAAUGCUAUGUGGAUCAGUUAUGAAGCUUAAGGUGGAGGACAACAACGACAAUCAUGACACACCACGUUCCUUGCCCGAACUUGAACAAUUUGAUGAGAAUGCUUCUUCAAACAUUGUUUGAUCAUUUCUGAUUUUUUAAAAAACAUUUAUUUCUUUUUAAUUGUGGUUUGUAAUUUGUUUAAGACUAAUUUUGUUAUGUAAUAGUUAAUUAGGUAUUUAGACUUGUUAGACUUUAUUUGGUUUUCUACUUUUCUUAAAAUCUUUAAGUUUGGAAAUCAUGUUUGAAAACAUUAGGUAAAAAAAAAAA